rnacentral:lncRNA from 1 species
CUCGAAUAGCACUAGUCACCUUAGAAUUUCAAAACAAAUAAAAUAUCAAAUUUUCAUAUUUUUUCGUGACUUCCCGAAAAAUAUCAAAAAUAUUAAUUCGUAAACGUUCGAAAAAUAUAAAAAUAAAGAAAAAGACAUAAAAACACAUUCUAAAAAUUACCGAUUAGCACCUGUCACCUUAGAAUAUCGAUACGAUUAAAAUAUCCAAAAUUUCACAUUUUUCGUGACUGCCCGAAAUACAUAAACAAUUUUUAUUCAUAAGCGUCCAAAAAAUACAAAAAUCAAGAAAAUGCAUAAAAAUACCUCAACAAAUUCACGAAUCGCACAUGUCACCUUAGAGUAUCGAUACAAAUAAAAUAUAAAAAUUUCACUUUUUUCGUGACAGCUCGAAAAAUACUUCAAAAAAUUCUCGAAUCGCAC